GCCGAGCAAGCGGACCAGCUGGAACCGGUCGCUUUCCAUCAGGUUAGUGAUGAAGGCGGCGGGAUAGCAAGUAGUGGUCUCCCAAGAAUUUUCACGUAUCUGUAUAGCACUGCAAAGAAGCCACCUGAGAUAGAUGGACCUAGGGAAGGGGUAACUAUGGCCAGAUAUGAUUUUGGGCUCCCAAUCAGUCGCCUUUAUGCUCGAUAUUUUGGUGGUGACUUGCAAAUCAUCUCUAUGGAAGGAUGGAAGGAUAUGGUACUGACGCUUACCUCCACUUGUCACGGCUGGGAGAUUCAGAGGAGCCCCUGCCUUGAUAUCUUCCCUGUUUUGAUACCGUUCACUUCCUGUAACUAGCUUGCUCUUCCUUCCUGUAAUCCCUGUGCUCGUUCGGAAAUAUUGCUGCAAGAGCCAGCCGCGUAUAGUUGUUGUAUCUUUCA